GCCAAACAAUAGCGCGGUGCAGAUGUAGAAAUGAAAGAAACAAUUGUCCAAGUCGAGGAGACAUAUGGCUCAACUUUCUUGGACCUGAUAAGCUUGGUAAGAAGAAAAUUGUGAUUGCACUGGCUGAUAUUCUAUAUGGAAGCACAAACAACUUAAUCUGUGUAGACCUAAGUCUACAGGAUGAAGUCGGGUUGGUUGAUCUUCAAGUAUUGAAUCAAUACGACGUGAGAUGCAGAGGAAAGCAUGUUGUUGACUAUGUUGCUGAUAAA
rnacentral:misc_RNA from 1 species